GGUCACGUUGGCACAGAAGAACGGCGCGAACUUGCCUCCGCAGCGCGUGCCCUGGCACUCGUCGCACAUCUGGUCGUCCAGCACGUACGGCUUCACUUCCACCUGGCGGGGAGACGAGAGGCUGCCGCAGAUGCAUGGUGAUCGCUACGAGAGUGAUGGCAGUGUCAGGUUUAUCGCCAAGAGGCACAGUGUUUAAUCACAGGAAGAGAAAACCAUCUUUGCACAUGGGGCGGCCUAAAGGAGCCUUCAUCAUUCAGAGAUACCUGUGACACAGCUGUACAUGUCUGCAGCAUCCAGGAUUUGAAGCACAAACCCCAGCACGAGAUGAAGCUGCCCGAAGCACACUGUGUUGUGUGAUUCAGAAACAUUCUCUUUAAUAGUACUCAGGAAUGAGUUACCUAGGUAGUAAGAAUAACUUGGUACUUAAUUCCUUUGAAAUAUUUAACUCAGUAUUCUACUCAGAGAGAUGACUGCAGAAGAUAGCAAUCUAGAGAUGCGAGAAAUUAGCUGAUGACAACAAAAGCAAGCUGUUAACACAUUUCCUGAUAGCUAAGGUGACACAAUGGGCUAAGUCCAGCACAACUCAACAGAGCUCACAGGCAGCAACUGACAGCCUCCCCACAGUGGGUGACCAAUGUGCUGGGCAAGAGAGUUGAGAAUAGAAGACUCUAUCAAGAUAAGUGUAGCCUUCUGGGAAAAACUCCCUCCUGAAGUUCCGCAGACAGGAGCUAUGCUGGUAAGAGUGUCACUUUUUUGGAUCUGGGGCAUCCCCCAAAACCCCUUGUGUUUGGGAGGCGACUAGUUCAUGCUAGUGCUCCACCACCCAUCAGUGGACUCAUCCAGUGAUGAGCUCGCAGGGCUGUGUGUACCUUCUUCCCUGGCCCCUCUGUGUUCUGCUUCCUGGCACCAUGAUGUGAGUAGCCUUCUGCCACGCCCUUCCUAAUGUGGAGCUGACAACCCCUGUCAGGUCAUCAGAUUCCUAACUCCUGUUUCUUCUGAGUGUUAAAUCCUCUAAAAGCCACGAAAUAAAACAGAACAGAACAGAACAGAAUUGUUUAAUUAGAGGAUGUUGGCUCUUAUGUCUUGGUGAUAAGGAAAUUAACUUUUAAAAAGUCUAUAUUAUUUGGGAAUGGGGCUAGAAGUAUUUGGGGCAUAAAUUAUCCCCAAUCAAGUACUGAUAGCAGAAAAAUAUACCAUAUGGGCAGGAAAAUUGUUAAAAAUCUAUAAGAUGUGUAACAGUUGGGGCUGGGGAUUUAGCUCAGCGGCAUAAGCACCUGCCUUGCAAGCAGGUGGUCGUGAGUUCCAUCCCCAGUACCGAUAAAAAGGAAAAAGACAAAAAAAAAAAAAAAAAAAAAAAAAAUGUGUAACUGUUGUUGCAUCACCCCUGGCUUCCCCCCAAGGUACACAAAAGCAAAGCACCUCAACUAGGUCACAACUCAUUUGUUUUCCCAACUGGAUAAGGGGUUUGAACUAGCGUUUCCAAGUAAAAAUAAGGAGUGACCAAAAACUGGUAACUGACUGAUAUCACCUGAACCCACGGUGAAAGACCUGUGUUCCGCUGUAACUACACAGAAAAACAGUGACAGUCUUUUUCCUAUUAUUUAUCUCAUAAAUUACCUCUAUGCACAAUAUGAGAAAGAAAAAAGGAAUAUUUUAUACAAUCUAAAGAGAUUUUCAUAUUAAAAAUACCUACAAUUCCAACAGAGCAGAUAUACAAAGAGAACAGAACAGGAGAAAUCAGGGCUCAUAAUCAGGAAGGGAAGCCUUAACAAAUGUUCUCUUCUAUUCAAAGAAGAUUUUUUCCUCUUCUCUUUAGAUGACCCAAAUUCCUUUUAAAAAAAUUAUUUUUAGUCAAAGGCUCUAAAACUCCCAGCAUUUCAAAAUAAGCCAAGGUAGGAUUAGUUCAGGCAAUAUUUUAACUCAGUUUUGGAUUCCUCUCAAGAGGACAAGUCAAACAGCUUUAGCAAAAGCAAGACAGUUUUCAGAGCAGAUCAGGCAGCGAGUACAACCGCAGUAAGAUAAAGGCUGAGCUGUAGGAGUCCCAGGCUCAGGUUAGGAACAAAAAUAGCCCAGGAACCAGUCAUCAGAGGCUGACUCCUUUUGCUAUGAGUCAUCUUGUAUAUCCCAGCUGCAGCCAGAGACAAAACGUAAUAUUAUCAACACUCUGUGAGUAUGGUUGCUGGGUCAUGUUAAUCUUCAUGCAGGUUAAAAAUAUCAUACCUUUGGUAGACUUUAGCAAAUUUGAGAUGUUUCCAGUAGAGUCACAAUUUUUUUUUUAAAGAUGCGAAGUACUUAUGGUGCUUGCAAAGAAAGUGCAAUGGAAAACAUCUCAUUAAAUUGAAAAUGGGUUAUUUUAAAUAGCAUGGUAUUCAAAGCAAACAUUACAUGCUUUGGCUUAGCUAUCACAAUGCUCCUUAAAUAAAAGUAUAGAGACUCUCAACUUGGCUAACAAAGUCUCUCCAGUUCUCAAUAUUAAACUAAAAUAGUUGAAGGAAGAGUAUUUGGCAAUGGUAUUUUAAACCUAUUUUUCUUCCUUAUACAGAGACAUUUUAUAUGACAUUUUAGAAAGAUGAACACAUAGUCUCAAGUAAUCAAAAGACAAAGAAUUAGAAAAAUUAAUUCUGGACUUGAGGAUAUAGCUCAGUGAUACCAUGAUUUCUAGCAUAGAAAAUCCUGGGCCCCAGGAAGG